UUAAAGAAAAAGUGUGAGAUUUCAAGGAAUCAAGCAAUCAAAGGUGGUGAGUCCUCUGAUAAAGGCAAGAAAAUUGCAUCCAAGGACCAGUAAACAGAGUACUUCGAAAGUCUGCAUUCUAGACAUUGUUCAGUAUAGACUGUAAAUAGCUGAUCUCAUCGAGGACUAC